rnacentral:lncRNA from 1 species
GUUGCCUGUUGUGAACCUAAGCGGGGGAACUAACUGGAUUCCUUUCUGUGGGAAUUUCAGUAGAAAACAUCUCAAGAAUGAGGGAGAAAAGCAAUGAAAGCAGAAGCUGAAAGGUUGAGAUGAAAAAAGUAAAUGGAGAAAACAUGGUUGGUUCUCUUUAGCCAACAUUAUGAGGUAGCCAAACUGGUGAGAAUAUAAAGACAAACAGAUAGAAGUGGAAGUACCACAUAGCCGUUAAGCAAGAGGAAGAGAAGACUCCAUGACUCUCUAAUUUCAAUUCUUCUGUGUGACCUUCACCACAAGCUUCCUUUUGCUUGAGGGACGUUUAGUAAGACUGUUUCAUGCAGCUACAACAGCCUCAGUAGAGUCAGUGUGACUGGAGAAAGAUACCUAUGGAGAGGGAAUGUGUUUGAAGCCCUCACUCAUUGCUCCAAACCAACACUCUACCCUUUUCCACCCUGUUCUGGGUCUUGGAAGUGCCAAUUUGUGUGGACCUCAUUACUGACUCCCAUCCACUAGCUUCUGGUUGGCUCCAUCCCUUCACCAAAGGCCACAGCUCCAGCCAGACGGUGUCCUCUCCAUGGAAAACUACCUUUUCUAGGCUCAGGGAAACAGCUCCCUUUCCUUGCCUCUUUGGGACUAGGGAUGGGAAGGGCCCCCACUGUUGCUAGUCCCAAGGGACUGCACUCUCCUCCUUGGUUUCUCUAAACCUGCCCACACCUUUAUAAAGAGUCGCUGUUAUUAAAGUCCUGUUACAUUACCCAGGCAUUCUAAGAGCCUGACUGAUACAGGAAGGCAGUACAGCAUAGAUGGGAAGGGACAUUUUGAAACUGGAGGGACAGGAAAUGAAAGUGGUUUAUGCCUUAUAAUUGCAGACCGUGGUGCUGUACUACUGCAGGGAGCAUUUUUCACAUUGGGAAGCAAUUAUGUAACCUAUGCCUAUAUAUAUAUAUUUGUCAUUUUGGUAACUAUUUUGAACUUCCUUGUUGAGAUAUAACAUACAUACA